rnacentral:rRNA from 1 species
CCUACGGGAGGCUGCAGUAGGGAAUCUUCCACAAUGGGCGAAAGCCUGAUGGAGCAACGCCGCGUGGGUGAAGAAGGUCUUCGGAUCGUAAAACCCUGUUGUUAGAGAAGAAAGUGCGUGCGAGUAACUGUUCACGUUUCUACGCUAUCUAACCAGAUAGCCACGGCUACUACGUGCCAGCAGCCGCGGUAAUACGUAGGUGGCAAGCGUUAUCCGGAUUUAUUGGGCGUAAAGGGAACGCAGUCGGUCUUUUAAGUCUGAUGUGAAAGUCUGCGGCUUAACCGGAGUAGUGCCUUUGAAACUGGGAGACUUGAGUGCAGAAGAGGAGAGUGGAACGCCAGGUGUAGCGGUGAAAUGCGUAGAUAUAUGGAAGAACA